rnacentral:lncRNA from 1 species
GGAAUGAGCAGGAGCAGCCGCUUGGGCAGUGGCACUUGAGCAAGCGAGACACAGGGGCUGCAUUGCUGGCUGAGUCCAGGGCUGAGAAGAACCGCCUCUGGGGCCCUUUGGAGGUCAGGCGCGUGGGCCGCAGCUCCAAGCAGCUGGUCGACAUCCCUGAGGGCCAGCUGGAGGCCCGAGCUGGACGGGGCCGAGGCCAGUGGCUGCAGCUUAUUUGAAGUCCUGCCUCAUUCUCACUGGAGCCUCAGUCUCUCCUGCUUGGUCUUGGCCCUCAACUGGGGCAAGUGAAGCCAGAGGAGGGUCCCCCAGCUGGGUGGGCUGGAAUGGAACUCCUCACUAGCUGCUGGGGCUCCGCCCACCCUGCUCCCUUCCGGACAAUGAAGAAGCCUUUGCACCCUGGGAGGAAGGACCACCCCGGGCCCUCUAUGCCUGGCCAGCCUCCAGCUCCUCAGACCUCCUGGGUGGGGUUUGGCUUCAGGGUGGGGUUUGGAAGCUUCUGGAAGUCGUGCUGGUCUCCCAGGUGAGGCAAGCCAUGGUUGCUGGGCUGUAGGGUGAGUGGCUUGCUUGGUGGGACCUGACGAGUUGGUGGCAUGGGAAGGAUGUGGGUCUCUAGUGCCUUGCCCUGGCUUAGCUGCAGGAGAAGAUGGCUGCUUUCACUUCCCCCCAUUGAGCUCUGCUCCCUCUGAGCCUGGUCUUUUGUCCUUUUUUAUUUUGGUCUCCAAGAUGAAUGCUCAUCUUUGGAGGGUGCCAGGUAGAAGCUAGGGAGGGGAGUGUCUUCUCUCUCCAGGUUUCACCUUCCAGUGUGCAGAAGUUAGAAGGGUCUGGCGGGGGCAGUGCCUUACACAUGCUUGAUUCCCACGCUACCCCCUGCCUUGGGAGGUGUGUGGAAUAAA